CUAUUUUUAUAAGCACCGGGAAUUUGGUGUUUGUAAGUUUUUUAGAUCUAUCCCUUGACUAAUUUCAUCCUUAAGAUCAUGUUAUUCCACCAACCAUCCAGGCAUCCACUCAAUCUUAGAAAAAUUAUUAAUAGUACCAAACACUUGGUGCUAUUAGAUUUUCGGCCUUUGAAUGAAGGGAUGUGCGAUUAAGAUGAUACUGAACCUCUAUGGUUUAGUGGGUGGUUGAUUGAAUAAUAUAUAUAUAUAUAUAUAGAGAGAGAGAGAGAGAGAGAGAGAGAGAGAGAGAAUUGAGCAUGAAUGCUAUUAGUAGCAAAUGAGUUCUGUUACCAUCUAUUUAUUUUUGAUGAUGGAGUCUCCAAUUGAUGAUUGGCAUCGUUGAAUAUGAUCUAUACGACUUAAAGUAUCUAAACACCAAAUUUUAUACGUUUCUGAUAUUGUUCUCUUGUCGAUCAAGUGGACAUAAAAAUGAACAAUUAAAAAUGAAUAUUCUUUAAAAAGUGAUGAUAGAAGCAUUGUAAUCAAGAUUAAGAGUAUAGAUCUUGUUUUAAACAAUUUAAAGAAUUUUCUAAUCAGGAUUCAAUUGAUUUGGAUACCUUCGUGCUGUUCAGAAAACAUUUCAUACGAAUCAUUAAAAUUAUAAAUUUUAAAACCCUUUGAUUAUUAGGCCAAUGAUGUCAAAAAGAUUUAAAAUAUGAUUUCUAGGUACUUCAAGUGAUAUAGAUUAUGUUCAACGAUGCUGAUCGUCGAUUUGGAGGUUUAAUCAUAAAAAAUAGAUAGGUGGCAACAAAACUCAUUUCCUACCAAUAGCAUUCCAGCCCAACUCUCUCUAUAUAUAGAAUUAUACUACUAUACUAUUAAUAGUACCAAAUGCUUGGUGUUAUUAGAUUUUUCAUUCUUGGUGAAAAGAUGUGCGGUUAUGAUGAUAGUGAUCCCCUAAAAUUGAGUAUGGUGGUUGGUUAAAUAGUAUAAUCUAAUAAGUAAAAAUGAUUAAAAAAAAUAUAUCUAACGGUGAAAAAUUCGAUAAUGCUAAAUGCUUGGUACUAUCGAUAGUAUAAUAACUGGGCUCUAUAUUAAAAAUAGGAGCUGAAGUGUUGA
rnacentral:lncRNA from 1 species